rnacentral:rRNA from 1 species
AGAGUUUGAUCAUGGCUCAGGAUGAACGCUAACUACAGGCUUAACACAUGCAAGUCGAGGGGAAACGACAUCGAAAGCUUGCUUUUGAUGGGCGUCGACCGGCGCACGGGUGAGUAACGCGUAUCCAACCUGCUCAUCACUUGGGGAUAACCUUGCGAAAGUAAGACUAAUACCCAAUGACGUCUCUAGAAGACAUCUGAAAGAGAUUAAAGAUUUAUCGGUGAUGGAUGGGGAUGCGUCUGAUUAGCUUGUUGGCGGGGUAACGGCCACCAAGGCGACGAUCAGUAGGGGUUCUGAGAGGAAGGUCCCCCANAUUGGAACUGAGACACGGUCCAAACUCCUACGGGAGGCCA